UACGUAGGGGGCAAGCGUUAUCCGGAUUUACUGGGUGUAAAGGGGGCGCAGACGGCGAUGCAAGCCAGGAGUGAAAGCCCGGGGCCCAACCCCGGGACUGCUCUUGGAACUGCGUGGCUGGAGUGCAGGAGGGGCAGGCGGAAUUCCUGGUGUAGCGGUGAAAUGCGUAGAUAUCAGGAGGAACACCGGUGGCGAAGGCGGUCUGCUGGACUGCAACUGACGUUGAGGCCCGAAAGCGUGGGGAGCAAACAGG
rnacentral:rRNA from 1 species